GUCGUUUUUAGGGGCUAGUCAUCAAUAAACUAGGAGGUGAAAUUCGGAGUUUGAUAGUAAUGUCAGCCCCUGGGGACAGUGUUGGAAGCUACUAAAGUCUGGGCUUAAACCAGGAUUAGAUACCCUGUUAUACCAGAUCGGAAAAGAAGUCGCUUGAGUAGUAAUCAGUUAUGGUCUUGAAACUUAAAGGAUUUGGCGGUAUUUUAGUCUAGUUAGAGGAACCUGCCCUGUGAACGAUAUGCCACGAAGAAUCUUACUCUCUCUUGUAGUCAGUUUGUAUACCGCCAUUAUCAGGUAGUUUUUUUAAAAAUCUAUUGUAAUGGGAGAGAUUCUCCCUGGAUAUUAGGUCAAGGUGCAGCUAAUGGGGGAGCAGAGGUGGGUUACAUUGCGUUGUAGGUAGACGGAGGAGGGUUUGUAAGAUCUCUUUGAAGGUGGAUUUAAUUGUAGUCUUGCUUUAAUAUGACAGGACGAUAUCAGCUCUGAAAUAUGUACACAUCGCCCGUCGCUCUCACCA
rnacentral:rRNA from 1 species